rnacentral:lncRNA from 1 species
ACUUCUAGUGUGUGUGACCCCAUAGGUUCUAUUCUGACUGGUAGUGAGAUAUAUUGUGAUAUCUAUCUCAAUAUCAUUGAAAACUCCUUUCAAUAGGUUGGAACGAUUCCAACUCAACUCAUUAGGGUUUAUCGAUCAUCAAGAUAAUCCCUAUGAGUCCCACCAUCCACCAGUGACACCUAGCAGCAUGUAGUGGCUACCCAGCAGAAUGGAAUGAUGAACCUCUAGGUGCAAUUAACGUGUGAUACAAUCCUACUAUCGUGGAUCCCUACAGGACGGAGGUCAUGGACAACUCGUCAAACCCCAUCGUCUGUCAUAUGUCAAGAUUUAUUCGACUUGAGUUCGAUAGUGGAAAACUCUUUUUCUACUUUAUAUUACUGCCCUGGCCAAGGUCUUAGAACUCAGUCUAACAAAUCACAUAGGA